AACGAACGCUGGCGGCAUGCCUAACACAUGCAAGUCGAACGAGACCUUCGGGUCUAGUGGCGCACGGGUGCGUAACGCGUGGGAACCUGCCCUUAGGUUCGGAAUAACUCCCCGAAAGGGGUGCUAAUACCGGAUAAUGUCUUCGGACCAAAGAUUUAUCGCCUUUGGAUGGGCCCGCGUUGGAUUAGCUAGUUGGUAGGGUAAAAGCCUACCAAGGCGACGAUCCAUAGCUGGUCUGAAAGGAUGAUCAGCCACACUGGGACUGAGACACGGCCCAGACUCCUACGGGAGGCAGCAGUGGGGAAUAUUGGACAAUGGGCGAAAGCCUGAUCCAGCAAUGCCGCGUGAGUGAUGAAGGCCUUAGGGUUGUAAAGCUCUUUUAACCGGGAUGAUAAUGACAGUACCGGGAGAAUAAGCGCCGGCUAACUCCGUG
rnacentral:rRNA from 1 species